rnacentral:rRNA from 1 species
AACGAACGCUGGCGGCGCGUCUAAGCAUGCAAGUCGAACGGCAAGAGGUAGCAAUACCUCCUAGAGUGGCGGACUGGUGAGUAACACGUGGGUGACAUACCCUUCAGAUGGGGAUAGCUAUUAGAAAUAGUAGAUAAUACCGAAUACGAGCACAGGGGUUAGAGAUCUGUGAGGAAAGGAGCUAAGGCUCCGCUGAAGGAAUGGCCUGCGGCCCAUUAGCUAGUUGGUGAGGUAAGAGCCCACCAAGGCGAUGAUGGGUAUCCGGCCUUAGAGGGUGAACGGACGCAUUGGGACUGAGAUACGGCCCAGACUCCUACGGGAGGCAGCAGCUAAGAAUAUUCCGCAAUGGACGAAAGUCUGACGGAGCGACGCCGCGUGGAUGAAGAAGGCCGGAAGGUUGUAAAAAUCCUUUUGAAACUGAAGAAUAAGCGUUGUAGGGAAUGACAGCGUGGUGACAGUAGGUUUUGAAUAAGCAACGGCUAAUUACGUGCCAGCAGCGGC